rnacentral:lncRNA from 1 species
GCCAGAAUCACUCUGCCCGACUCUUAGUCGAUCAGUGUGCUCGAUCAGUGGUUUUCAGUGGCGCGCCCGUCCGUUCUGCCGGCCAGCAUGCUUGUGAAAAUAAACAAUCCUUUCCUAACAUUUUUUCCCUUCAAAAUCACUCCAAUCGUUCGUUUCGUCUGACCCAAGCUAAUCGGAAAGUAGUCAUUUAACCCCUACAGUCUACUCGAGGAUCUGGCCGCCGGCGCAACGUUCCGGCGGGGAUCUCGCGAGACGGGGGCACCGGAUUGGGCAAGCGGACCGGCGAAGCUCCAGUUCGGCAGUAGUUGCGCCACCGGCACCGGCCGGGUUACGCCACCGGUACGACACGGCGCGGACCCCGGCCGCGUCCACGUCCACACCGGUGUCGGUGACGCGACGAGAACCGGGCAUCGGGGAUCGGGAGGAGUAAAACCAGUGGCCUGACCUUGGGAUCCGAAGCGACAAUUUUUAUCGGUCAAGGUUCCGCCGGGAAGCACACUGCAUCAAGUGAAAUGAAUGAAGUGGUUUAGCGCCGCCGCCGCUACGUUGCCGCUCGAGCGAGCGUCGCGACGCUCAGGAAGCGUCGGCCGAGGAUCCGGAGAUCGGAAGUGAAAUUUCAUUUUGGACCACUGGACAAGGUAAGAAUCAUAGCGUCAUUAUUAUUAUUUUCUCAUCA